ACUUUUGCCUCCGGAAAUGGUUCCAACGUUGGUUUACGCCAACACGGACUAAUAGGGAAUCCGGUGAAAAACCGGAGCUGUACCCGCAGCUGUAAGCCUUAAUACAAACUUUUUGAAACUCCUGCCACUGUCUCGGUUAACCGGGAUGGGAAGGCUUCAAAAAGAAGGUGAGCCAGAAGACCUGCCAAUUCCACGCACGUUAA
rfam:Bacteroidetes bacterium GWB2_41_8 gwb2_scaffold_1973, whole genome shotgun sequence.